rnacentral:lncRNA from 1 species
CCACAAUUUCCAUUAAAGUUCAUAUUAAAAUCUAAAGCAGAAAUUCUAUUACUAAGAUUUCUGUCGCUAAAAAGGACACCUAACCUGAGUAAAGAAAAGAGGUUUAAUUCUGUUUUUGAGGCUGAAAGUCCAAGAUGGGGUAAUCCCCUCUGUUGUCCUCAGGUGAGGCCCCUGGCCUGGGUCACAGUGUAGUGUGUAACUGGGAACCAACUAAAUGCUGCAGUGGCCAAGUGUGGCCUCGCGUUAUGACAGCCCACCCUGGUUCGAACUCCCUCACUCCACGGGGCCAUCUCCAGUCCAUCCAGGGCCACUUCCCCUGAUGACCACCUAAAUAUCACUGCAGAUCUAUUUGUGCCCAAGGUGUAAAAGGAGUGGGAUGAGGAGGGGGGGAAAUGAAGGGAGGAACCCAUGGAAACACAUGGAAGGUGAGAAAAGUUUUGUUUUUUCAUUCAGCUCUUGAGACCUUCCGUAUCAAAACUCACCUUCAUAAAACCUGAGAUUUCUCUCACCUUGCAAGAAUCACCAUCAUAUGCUGAUUGCCAUUGACACUGAAGGACUCGUUGGUCAGACUCACAUUAAGGAAAUACCACGGAAAUAAACUUAUGAAGAAGAAAAGUUUCUUUGGCUCUGGUUCUGUAGGAUCCUGUCCAAGGUCAGGGGGCACCACUCACCUCAGGAACCAGGAAACAAAGAAUAGCAGGAAGAGGAAGAUCCUGGGGUAACCACGAUCCCCUUUCCUCCAGGGCCUAUGGCCUCCCAAGGGGUCCCCCUUCCUCAAGGACCUCAGAACCUCCAACAGCACCUGCCUGGAGCCAAGCCUUUAACUCUGGGG